GAUGAACGCUGGCGGCGUGCCUAAUACAUGCAAGUCGAACGAAAAGACGAUGAGCUUGUUCUUUUGACGUUAGCGGCGGGCGGGUGAGUAACACGUAGGUCACCUACUUAUAUUUCGGGGAUAAUUUCGUAAAACCGGAUCUAAUACCAUAGAAUAUUUCGAACCGCUUGGUUCGUUAGUGAAACAUGGCUUUGCUGUCUCUUAUAGCUGCUCCGGCGCUGUAUUAGCUAGUUGGUAAGGUAACGGCUUACCAAGGCUACGAUGCGUAGCCGAGCUGAGAGGGUGAUCGGCCACACUGGAACUGAGACACGGUCCAGACUCCUAAGGGAGGCAGCAGUAGGGAAUAUUGGGCAAUGGGCGAAAGCCUGACGCAGCAAUGCCGAGUGAGUGAUGAAGGCCUUCGGAUUGUAAAGCCCGGUUGUUGGGGAAGAACAGACGUGGAAGAAAAUGUGGACGUAGUGACGGUACCUAAUCAAAAAGCAACGGCUAACUACGUG
rnacentral:rRNA from 1 species